GAGACUAUACUUUCAGUGAUCAUUUCUACAGUUUGUUAUUAGAAAAGUUUUUCUGAUCAUACAAAGCACUGGAAACCAUGGGGAGGAGGCUCAGCACUCUCUUCUGAGCUUGAAUACAACUCUUGGUGGUGCUUCUGCUGCAACCAUCGGUUGGCAUUGAUCUUUUGUCUCUUCCUCCGGAAGAGUAAGACAGAGAGUUCUGACGCAAUCUGAAUGUGU
rnacentral:snoRNA from 1 species